rnacentral:rRNA from 1 species
AGUGAACGCUGGCGGUAGGCCUAACACAUGCAAGUCGAACGGCAGCACAGUAAGAGCUUGCUCUUACGGGUGGCGAGUGGCGGACGGGUGAGGAAUCCAUCGGAAUCUACUUUUUCGUGGGGGAUCACGUAGGGAAACUUACGCUAAUACCGCAUACGCCCUACGGGUGAAAGCAGGGGAUCUUCGGACCUUGCGCGAUUGAAUGAGCCGAUGUCGGAUUAGCUAGUUGGCGGGGUAAAGGCCCACCAAGGCGACGAUCCGUAGCUGGUCUGAGAGGAUGAUCAGCCACACUGGAACUGAGACACGGUCCAGACUCCUACGGGAGGCAGCAGUGGGGAAUAUUGGACAAUGGGCGCAAGCCUGAUCCAGCCAUACCGCGUGGGUGAAGAAGGCCUUCGGGUUGUAAAGCCCUUUUGUUGGGAAAGAAAAGCAGCAGGUUAAUACCCCGCUGUUCUGACGGUACCCAAAGAAUAAGCACCGGCUAACUUCGUG